GGUUAUUCUGGUCAUAACAGGCCAAGAGGGCCUGGAAACAGACCAAAGCCAAUAACUUUGUUGCAACUAAUGCUCCAACCAGCACUUAUGCGAGAGUGCACAUGAGUCGGUGAGCUUUAAGGGAGAUCAAUGUUGCCGCAAUAGAUGCAGCAGGUGUCAAUUUACCAGGUCUAGUGAAGAGCCACUAAAUCGAUGGCAAAACUCUCCAGUUGACCCCAGUACGCCACCCCUGCAAGUCGACUGUAGAGCAGUUCCUGUUGACUCAAUGCAAUGAAGACCCCGGGUCUAUAUCACCAUCAAAUGACAAAGGAGCAGCAUGAACAAUGAGUAUCACCAGCUUCCUAUUAUCUCCAUCAGGUCCGGAAGCAAACAGAAGCGAUCAAAGUAAAAACACAAGACCAUGUGCACUAGCCCAUCGUUGUGUGCAUGGAAGUCUUAAUGAGGCCAGCACAAGUUCUGCAUAAGAAAUGAUGGCAGGAUAUGGCUCAUAAAAUUCUAUUGGAACAACACAGCACCAACAUUCUCUUCAUUUAUUGAAUGUCACGUAAUCGCCAGAAUGGACAAUCACUGGGGAAUGGAUCCUUCAAACCCUCAUUCACAUGAGGUGAAAUUCAUAGCACCAACGCGCCAUUUAGUUUAACGGACGUUAGCAACUCUACAGCUCGCACUACUGGAUAUUGACAAGAUUCAGGCAGAUUCCUCACUUGCCCACAUCUCUUCCUAUGAGACAUAAUUAUGUUCUGCAGUUAGUGAGUCAGGCCUUUUAGUGGCUGUAGGACAGGAGCAGUCAAUCAUAUCAGAGCCAAAUUAGCAACGAGUAGGAGUGUACAGCAAAUGGCUGCGAUACAUUGCAGUUGUAACACUACACAGGGAAAAAAGUGCAUAUGAGGAAAAACUAGUGAUCAAGACUGAAUCAAAAAAAAGAAAAAGGCCGACCCAAGAGGAAGUAUUAAGAUGUAAUAAAGGAAGACAUGCUAGCAUGUGGUGAGAGCAUAUGACAUUGAACAGAGCAUGCUGGAGGGAGCGAACACAGAGCAGAUGCUAUUUGAUGAGAUUAACACCAGGAAGAAGAACUGAGAAGAGGAUCAGGCCCAGUGUUGAACAAUCAGAUGCAUUGUGGGGAUCAUUCUCACUCUCGCCUUUCAAAGGGGAUGAGAGAAGAAAAUCUGAGGCAAGAACAUGCUGAUAAUCAGGGACCCAAAGACUUACAAAGCAGAAGCACCAGAGCCUGAACAUGACAACAAUCUAUAGGACCCUAAUGAAUAUAAUUGUUCCGAAGAAUACACAAUACCAUUUUAUAUUGGCAUAUUUAGAAAAACUCUCUGACAACGUCUUUCCAUUUCAGAUGAAAAACUGAGCUCCUGUCCUAUCUCAGACACAUUAGUCAUUGUUA